rnacentral:rRNA from 1 species
GACGAACGCUGGCGGCGUGCUUAACACAUGCAAGUCGAACGGAAAGGCUCCAGCUUGCUGGAGUACUCGAGUGGCGAACGGGUGAGUAACACGUGGGUGAUCUGCCCUGCACUUCGGGAUAAGCCUGGGAAACUGGGUCUAAUACCGGAUAGGACCGCACUUUGGUGUGUGUGGUGGAAAGGUUUUUCUGGUGUGGGAUGAGCUCGCGGCCUAUCAGUUUGUUGGUGGGGUAAUGGCCUACCAAGACGGCGACGGGUAGCCGGCCUGAGAGGGUGGGCGGUCACAUUGGGACUGAGAUACGGCCCAGAAUCCUACGGGAGGCAGCAGUGGGGAAUAUUGCACAAUGGGGGAAACCCUGAUGCAGCGACGCCGCGUGGGGGAUGAAGGCCUUCGGGUUGUAAACUCCUUUCGCUAGGGACGAAGCUUUUUGUGACGGUACCUGGAGAAGAAGCACCGGCUAACUACGUG